rnacentral:rRNA from 1 species
AUUGAACGCUGGCGGCAUGCCUUACACAUGCAAGUCGAACGGCAGCACGGGUGCUUGCACCUGGUGGCGAGUGGCGAACGGGUGAGUAAUACAUCGGAACAUGUCCUGUAGUGGGGGAUAGCCCGGCGAAAGCCGGAUUAAUACCGCAUACGAUCUACGGAUGAAAGCGGGGGACCUUGGGGCCUCGCGCGAUAGGGUUGGCCGAUGGCUGAUUAGCUAGUUGGUGGGGUAAAGGCCUACCAAGGCGACGAUCAGUAGCUGGUCUGAGAGGACGAUCAGCCACACUGGGACUGAGACACGGCCCAGACUCCUACGGGAGGCAGCAGUGGGGAAUUUUGGACAAAGGGCGAAAGCCUGAUCCAGCAAUGCCGCGUGUGUGAAGAAGGCCUUCGGGUUGUAAAGCACUUUUGUCCGGAAAGAAAUCCUUGGCCCUAAUACGGUCGGGGGAUGACGGUACCGGAAGAAUAAGCACCGGCUAACUACGUG